rfam:Camelus ferus unplaced genomic scaffold scaffold1274, whole genome shotgun sequence.
GAAGGUAUAGCUCAAGCAGUAAAGCGCAUGCUUAGCAUGUACAAGGUCCUGGGUUCAACCCCCAGUACCGCCU